ensembl:lncRNA
CACACAUUAGGAAUAGACCUCCUCGAGCACAAUAGUGGUUUUGUGUGCUGCUCUCUCAUGCCUUGUUGAAGAGUAGGAGUGGCUGGAUAACAUGUGAAGAAGCACUCUAGUUUACCGCAGGCCAAAGUGAAAAAACUUGCUGCAAAUGAUUUGUUUCUUCGUCUCUGUGCUCAUUUGGGAGAAUGGAGCAGAUACUGACAGCAGGGUGUUCUGGGAAGGAGCAGAGAUGGCAACUAUGUGCCCUGAACUUCUGUGAGGGUAUUUCCGAGGUCAUCAGCGGUCCCAUGGGGGAAAUGAGUCAGCAAAAGCGUAACUGCAGAUCUCAGCGACCGCUGCGAGGAGCACCGCGUUAUCCCGAGCAGCUCUGAGUCACCGCGCAGCCACGGCCGUGUCACAGAGCCGAGAACCGCUGCCAGCGGAGAGGGACCCUUCUCACCUCCCACCGCUAUCAAAUGUCACCCACCCAUCUAUCUCAGCGUCCCUCAUUAUGAAGCUCAUCACUCAUUUCAGAAUGGGCGUUCCACGCAGAACGCCGCAUCCUCUCACUUUAUUAACAGCCAGCAGGGCUGACAUUGCACUUCGCGGGCACCGCUGCAGCGUCAGGG